GGGUAACCUGCCUCAUACAGGGGGAUAACAGUUAGAAAUAGCUGCUAAUACCGCAUAAGCGCACGGUUCCGCAUGGAACAGUGUAGAAAAACUCCGGUGGUGUGAGAUGGACCCGCGUCUGAUUAGCCAGUUGGCGGGGUAACGGCCCACCAAAGCGACGAUCAGUAGCCGGCCUGAGAGGUGAACGGCCACAUUGGGACUGAGACACGGACCCAAACUCCUACGGGAGGCAGCAGGUGGGGAAUAUUGCACAAGUGGGGGAAACCCUGAUGCAGCGACGCCGCGUGAGUGAAGAAGUAUUUCGGUAUGUAAAGCUCUAUCAGCAGGGAAGAAAGUGACGGUACCUGAAUAAGAAGCCCCGGCUAACUACGUG
rnacentral:rRNA from 1 species